rnacentral:rRNA from 1 species
GACGAACGCUGGCGGCGUGCUUAACACAUGCAAGUCGAACGAAAAGGCCCUGCUUUUGUGGGGUGCUCGAGUGGCGAACGGGGGAGUAACACGUGAGUAACCUGCACUUGACUUUGGGAUAUCUUCACGAAACUGGGGCUAUUACCGCAUAGGAUCUCCUGCUGCAUGGUGGGCGUUGGAAAGUUUCGGCGGUUGGGGCUGUACUCGCGGCUUAUCAGCUUGUUGGUGGGGUAGUGGCUUACCAAGGCUUUGAAGGGUAGCCGGCCUGGGAGGGGGAACGGCGACAUGGGGACUGAGAUAGGGACCAGACUCCAACGGGAGGCAGCAGUGGGGAAUAUGGCAGAAUGGGCGGAAGCGUGAUGCAGAAACGCCGCGUGCGGGAUGACGGCCUACGGGUUGUAAACCGCUGUCGCCUGUGACGAAGCGUGAGUGACGGUAACGGGUAAAGAAGCACCGGCUAACUACGUG